rnacentral:rRNA from 1 species
GAUCCUGGCUCAGGAUGAACGCUAGCUACAGGCUUAACACAUGCAAGUCGAGGGGCAGCGGGAUUGAAGCUUGCUUCAAUUGCCGGCGACCGGCGCACGGGUGAGUAACGCGUAUCCAACCUUCCGUACACUCAGGGAUGGCCUUUCGAAAGAAAGAUUAAUACCUAAUGGUAUGAUGAGAUUGCAUGAUAUCAUCAUUAAAGAUUUAUCGGUGUACGAUGGGGAUGCG